CUUGUAAGGCCUGUUGCUACAAGGUGGAAUUCACUGUUCUCAGCAGUAGAAAGAAUAGUGCGAAUAACAAAAGAACAAGGUGAAGGAGCCCUUGCAGCUGUCUGCAGUGAACUAGAUACACCUAAGUUUACUCCAGUGGAACUUGCAUUUCUUGCAGAGUAUGCGAAGACAAUGAGCCCAGUUGCAAAGGCACUUGAUGUUCUCCAGGGAGAAACCAGUGUGCAGAUGGGAUGGUUGGUCCCCACCAUAACUCUCCUAAGGACCAAGCUCCAGCACCUUCAAGUCUCCUCCAAGUUCUGUGAGCCUUUGAUCGCUGCACUUGUUUCAGGCCUUGAAAAACGCUUCGGAGAGAUGCUUGCAGAUCCAGAGCUGAUAGCCGCAGCCAUUCUAGUUCCAUAAUUUAAGACCUGCUGGACAAGUGACGAAAAUAUCCUCAAACUUGGUCUUGACUAUAUCAGAAGCCACUUGGACUGUCAGGCCGAGAAUCCCGUCAGCGAAGGCUCCCACUCCUCUGAGGAAGAGGACUUCUUUUCCUCCUUGAAGAAGACCAGCCCUGUUGAAAGGACCCAGCAGUUGGAUGCGUACCUGGGCUGCCCCGGAGACACGGUAGAGCUACUCAAGUCCU